AGUUACAACUCGAGUUACCGGUGG
rnacentral:siRNA from 1 species